rnacentral:sRNA from 1 species
GGUGAGUGCGUGACCAUGAGCUUAUCUGAGCGAUUGGUUUGUAUGACUUGUUUUGUGUGAUGAUAUGUAGGUGUGGUGAAUGUGUUUUUGGGUGAACGGUUCAAUGACUGGUUUGUUAUGUUUUA